UACGGAGGGUGCAAGCGUUGUCCGGAUUUAUUGGGUUUAAAGGGUGCGUAGGCGGCUAAUUAAGUCAGCGGUGAAAUUCCACAGCUCAACUGUGGAACUGCCAUUGAUACUGGUUGGCUUGAGUACAGAUGAGGUAGGCGGAAUUGACAGUGUAGCGGUGAAAUGCUUAGAUAUUGUCAAGAACACCUAUUGCGAAGGCAGCUUACUAGACUGUAACUGACGCUGAGGCACGAAAGCGUGGGGAUCAAACAG
rnacentral:rRNA from 1 species